ACAGUGGCCUGGUUGUUGUUGGGGGCAAUAUCUCAGUGUGUGCCUUUUGCUUUGACUUUUGCAGGUGUUGCACACAGUGCUGGAGUGACAAAGCCAUGUCUUGAGGAGCAUGUGGAGAAGGUGCUGUGCAUGCCACCUUUGGAACCAGAUGAGCAUUGAAUGUGCCCAAAGCAGUGGUGGCCACAGCAUUCAACUCUGGAUCAAGGAGGUGAUGAAGAGGAACAUGCCUG